rnacentral:rRNA from 1 species
UAAUACGAAUGUGGCAAGCGUUGUUCGGAAUCACUGGGCAUAAAGCGCACGUAGGCGGCCUAGUCAGUUGAUUUGUGAAAUCCCCCGGCUUAACCGGGGAAUUGCGGUCAAUACUGCUAAGCUCGAGUACGGAAGGGGAGAGUGGAACUCUGGGUGUAGCGGUGGAAUGCGAAGAUAUCCAGGGGAAGGCCGGUAGCGAAAGCGACUCUCUGGUCCGAUACUGACGCUGAGGUGCGAAAGCGUAGGUAGCGAACGGGAUUAGAUACCCCGGUAGUCUACGCAGUAAACGAUGGGCACUAGGUGGUGGAAACGCCGAUAGUUUUCUCCGCCGAAGCAAAUGCGUUAAGUGCCCCGCCUGGGGAGUAUGGUCGCAAGAUUA